rnacentral:rRNA from 1 species
GGAAUAUUGCACAAUGGGCGAAAGCCUGAUGCAGCGACGCCGCGUGAGGGAUGACGGCCUUCGGGUUGUAAACCUCUUUCAGUAGGGAACAAGGCCAGUGUUUAGCUGGUUGAGGGUACUUGCAGAAGAAGCGCCGGCUAACUACGUGCCAGCAGCCGCGGUAAUACGUAGGGCGCAAGCGUUAUCCGGAAUUAUUGGGCGUAAAGAGCUCGUAGGCGGUUUGUCGCGUCUGCCGUGAAAGUCCGGGGCUCAACUCCGGAUCUGCGGUGGGUACGGGCAGACUAGAGUGAUGUAGGGGAGACUGGAAUUCCUGGUGUAGCGGUGAAAUGCGCAGAUAUCAGGAGGAACACCGAUGGCGAAGGCAGGUCUCUGGGCAUUAACUGACGCUGAGGAGCGAAAGCAUGGGGAGCGAACAGGAUUAGAUACCCUGG